GACGAACGCUGGCGGCGUGCCUAAUACAUGCAAGUCGAGCGAAGUUUUUCUGGUGCUUGCACCGGAAAAACUUAGCGGCGAACGGGUGAGUAACACGUAAAGAACCUGCCUCAUAGACUGGGACAACUAUUGGAAACGAUAGCUAAUACCGGAUAAUAGCAUUAACUGCAUGGUUGAUGUUUAAAAGUUGGUUUUGCUAACACUAUGAGAUGGCUUUGCGGUGCAUUAGCUAGUUGGUGGGGUAAAGGCCUACCAAGGCGACGAUGCAUAGCCGACCUGAGAGGGUGAUCGGCCACACUGGGACUGUGACACGGCCCAGACUCCUACGGGAGGCAGCAGUAGGGAAUCUUCCGCAAUGGGCGAAAGCCUGACGGAGCAACACCGCGUGAGUGAAGAAGGAUUUCGGUUCGUAAAGCUCUGUUGUUAGGGAAGAAUGAUUGUGUAGUAACUAUACACAGUAGAGACGGUACCUAACCAGAAAGCCACGGCUAACUACGUG
rnacentral:rRNA from 1 species